GCAUGGACGAAUACUGUGUUCUCUUUGUCAGUAGUCAACACAGCCAGACACCAUGCGAAAGCACAUUCUCCUCUGAAACGUCUUGAUGGGAUGCCGAGGGUUGUCAUUGGCAUGCCAUUAUGGAAGGGGAUCACAGAU
ensembl:snoRNA